GAGUUUGAUCUUGGCUCAGACUUGAACGCUGGCGGCAUGCCUUACACAUGCGAAGUCGAACGGCAGCACGGGAGCUUGCUCCUGGUGGCGAGUGGCGAACGGGUGAGUAAUGCAUCGGAACGUAUCCUGGAGUGGGGGAUAACGUAGCGAAAGUUACGCUAAUACCGCAUAUUCUGUGAGCAGGAAAGCGGGGGACCUUCGGGCCUCGCGCUCUUGGAGCGGCCGAUGUCGGAUUAGCUAGUUGGUGAGGUAAAGGCUCACCAAGGCGACGAUCCGUAGCAGGUCUGAGAGGAUGAUCUGCCACACUGGAACUGAGACACGGUCCAGACUCCUACGGGAGGCAGCAGUGGGGAAUUUUGGACAAUGGGGGCAACCCUGAUCCAGCCAUGCCGCGUGAGUGAGAA
rnacentral:rRNA from 1 species